rnacentral:rRNA from 1 species
GACGAACGCUGGCGGCGUGCUUAACACAUGCAAGUCGAACGAAGUGGCGAAGGGGAGAGUAAUACGUGGGUAAGCUGACCUCCUUAUUGGGAUAAGACUAGGCAACGGGGUAUAAUAUCGAACAAUGGGGGAUGGGCUCGCGGCCUAUCAGCUUGUUGGUGGGGUGAUGGCCUACCAAGGCGGUGACGGGUAGCCGGCCUGAGAGGGUGACCGGCCACAUAGGGACUGAGCUGCGGCCCAGACGCCUACGCGAUGGAGCAUUUGGGGCUAUUGCAGAAUGGGCGAACGCCUGAUGCAGCGACGCCGCGGGGGGGUUUAGGGCUUUCGGGUUGUGUACCUCUUUCGCUACCGAACGGGUAGGUGGAGAGAAAGCGCCGGCUAACUACGUGCCAGCAGCCGCGGUAAUAC